GAUUUCUUGGCGUAGAGGUCAUCGCGUUUGUCUUACACACAAAAGGUCGCGGGUUCGAUCCCCGCAGAGAUUA